rnacentral:rRNA from 1 species
UACGUAGGGUGCGAGCGUUGUCCGGAAUUAUUGGGCGUAAAGAGCUCGUAGGCGGUGUGUCGCGUCGGUCGUGAAAACUUGGGGCUUAACCCUGAGCUUGCGGUCGAUACGGGCAUCACUGGAGUUCGGCAGGGGAGACUGGAAUUCCUGGUGUAGCGGUGAAAUGCGCAGAUAUCAGGAGGAACACCGGUGGCGAAGGCGGGUCUCUGGGCCGAUACUGACGCUGAGGUGCGAAAGCUAGGGGAGCGAACAGG